rnacentral:rRNA from 1 species
UUGAGUACUGUAGGGGGUAGCGGAAUUCCUAGUGUAGGGGUGAAAUUCGUAGAUAUUAGGAGGAACACCGGAGGCGAAAGCGGUUAUCUGGACAGUCACUAACGCUGUUGCACGAAAGCGUGGGGAGCAAACAGGAUUAGAUACCCUGGUAGUCCACGCAGUAAACGAUGAGUGCUAGAUGUUGGGGGUUAAGUCUCAGUGUCGCAGCUAACGCAUUAAGCACUCCGCCUGGGGAGUACGGUCGCAAGAUUAAA